rnacentral:rRNA from 1 species
AUUGAACGCUGGCGGAAUGCUUUACACAUGCAAGUCGAACGGCAGCACGUGGUCAGCCUUGGUGGUGAGUGGCGAACGGGUGAGUAAUACAUCGGAACGUGCCCUGUCGUUGGGGAUAACGUAGCGAAUGUUACGCUAAUACCGCAUCCGAUCUGAGGUUUAAACCGGGGGACCUUCUUGCCUCGCUCCAUUGGAGCCGCCGAUGUCUGAUUCCGUAUUUGGUGGGGUAAAGGCCUACCAAGCCGAUGAUCUGUAGCUGGUCUGAGAGGACGACCAGCCACACGGGGACUGAGACACGGCCAAAACUCCUAGGGGAGGCAGAAGAGGGGAAUUUUGGACAAGGGGGGAAAGCCUGAUCCAGACAGCCCGGGUGGAGAACGAAGGCUUUCGGGUGGUAAACUGCGUUUGUAGGGGACAAAAAGGCUCUGGCUAAAAACUGGAGCUAAUGACGGUAACGUAAGAAUAAGCACCGGCUAACUACGUG